GAUGAACGCUGGCGGCGUGCCUAACACAUGCAAGUCGAACGAAGAGGUUUCCUUCGGGAGAUACUUCAGUGGCGAAUGGGUGAGUAACACGUAGGUGACCUGCCCCGAAGCAGGGGAUAACGGCUCGAAAGGGCCGCUAAUACCCAAAAGGGUCGCGGUUCAAAUCGCGAUCAGAGCUAUGGCGUUUCGGGAGGGGCCUGCGGCCCAUCAGCUUGUUGGUAGGGUAAUGGCCUACCAAGGCGAUGACGGGUAGGGGGCCUGAGAGGGUGGUCCCCCACACUGGCACUGACACACGGGCCAGACACCUACGGGAGGCUG
rnacentral:rRNA from 1 species